UACGAAGGGGGCUAGCGUUGUUCGGAAUUACUGGGCGUAAAGCGCACGUAGGCGGACAUUUAAGUCAGGGGUAAAAUCCCAGAGCUCAACUCUGGAACUGCCUUUGAUACUGGGUGUCUUGAGUAUGGAAGAGGUGAGUGGAAUUCCGAGUGUAGAGGUGAAAUUCGUAGAUAUUCGGAGGAACACCAGUGGCGAAGGCGGCUCACUGGUCCAUUACUGACGCUGAGGUGCGAAAGCGUGGGGAGCAAACAGG
rnacentral:rRNA from 1 species